rnacentral:rRNA from 1 species
GACGAACGCUGGCGGCGUGCUUAACACAUGCAAGUCGAACGGAAAGGCCCUGCUUUUGUGGGGUGCUCGAGUGGCGAACGGGUGAGUAACACGUGAGUAACCUGCCCUUGACUUUGGGAUAACUUCAGGAAACUGGGGCUAAUACCGGAUAGGAGCUCCUGCUGCAUGGUGGGGGUUGGAAAGUUUCGGCGGUUGGGGAUGGACUCGCGGCUUAUCAGCUUGUUGGUGGGGUAGUGGCUUACCAAGGCUUUGACGGGUAGCCGGCCUGAGAGGGUGACCGGCCACAUGGAGACUGAGAUACGGCCCAGACUCCUACGGGAGGCAGCAGUGGGGAAUAUUGCACAAUGGGCGGAAGCCUGAUGCAGCAACGCCGCGUGCGGGAUGACGGCCUUCGGGUUGUAAACCGCUUUCGCCUGUGACGAAGCGUGAGUGACGGUAAUGGGUAAAGAAGCACCGGCUAACUACGUG